CUCCGUGUAGGCCUCCCUGAAGCCUGAACUUGGCAUUCCCCCGCAAGCCAGGAAGGAGGCAGGAUGGAAGAGUUCUCUGCAGCAGACUCUCUGCCCAGACCAUCCAACACAGCUUUUGCAAGGAGAAUUUUGCUGCAGGACAGGAGGGGAGAAAGAGAUGCUGCUUUGUGGGAGAAGAAGCUGGAGGCAUAAGAAGAGAGUGGACUAAAGGACCAGUGGAGGAAUAGGAGCAGCUGCUGUGGCUACUUUGUUUUCUAUCUUACCUAAAAGGAAGUAAAUGCACAUUCUCUGGAUUGCAACCCAGCUACCCUAUUUGGCUUUGCUUGUGGAGAACUUUCAUUUGGCUACAAGAAAUCUGCUCAGCGAAUCCAGAGUUAGAACUGUCAGUUGACAAGGCUGUGGUUCUUGCCGUUAAAGAUACAGGAAUUAUCCUGACAUGUUUCUUUCACCAAGGAGUAUCUGUGGUAUGAACAGUAUGCCUCAAAUAUAUGUGUAUAUUUACUAAGUUAAAUGAAUUUAAAAGUUAAACAAACAAGUCUGAAAUAGGUCAGAUUUGAGAACAACAAUAGUGUUUGGUUUUUAUAGACUGAAAAGACAGUUUUCUAAUCUACAAGUUAAAUUUGAGCAUCCAUAGACUUUUGAAUUUGCAUGAUUGUCAUAAUCAUCAUGCAUUAUUUAUUUUUAAAAUCCCAAUUUACAUCAGGCGCUAUAUAAAAAUAGAAAACACAAGCCCCUGCUUUUAGCCUCACAUUCUUUAAAAAAGAAUAAAACCAAAGGAAAGGGGAGUUUGAGGGAAAUGAAAAUGUUUUGCACUCACCAUGAGAGAGUAAAGGAAGUGGGGGGGGGAGUUAUAAAUAAGCUAGGAGCAGGAAAGACUUAAAAAGUCAAAUAGAACAUCAAACAGGGAUGUGCAAAAUUGUUUGUCUAUGAAAUAAAUGGAAUUUGAAAUCCAUUGCCAAUAUGGAUGGCAACCUAGCAUUUUGGAACAUAAUUGCAAUUUCUCAGAUGGUUGCUAUGCUUUGGAAGACUCACCUCCAUAGUCCAGGGAAUAUUUAAGUACAUACACCUAACUCCCCAGCUGUGUGCAAUAUAGUGCAGAUGGAUACUACAGCAGCCAGGCACAUAAAACCUGCAUUAAAGAGAAGUUAAUACACAAUAAAGUGACUGU